CUGUAAUCCCAGCUACUGGGGAGGCUGAGGCAGAAGAAUCGCUCGAACCCAGGAGGCGGAGGUUGCGGUGAGCCGAGAUCGCGCCAUUGCACUCCAACCUGGGCAACAAGAGUGAAACUCCGUCUCAAAAAAAAAAAAAAAAAAAAUGCAAUGCUGUACUUGGGAUUCAGAGUAAUGAGAAGUGGCCCUUGCUCUCAAGGAGCAGUACAGAAGACAAAUAAGACAAAUUGCAAUACUUACAUGAUAAAUAGUUAAGAUUCUUGUAUGUUUGCCGAAGAACCUAAGAAUGUCGAAGGACUUAUUGCACCAAUUCAUAAUAGCGAACAAUUAGAAACCUGUACAGCUGAUUAGAGGCCGUUGGUUGCAAGCAAAAAGGAUAACUUGAGCAAAAUAAAUAAUUUAGUUGGCAAGAUGCUAAACUCACAUCGUUUGCCAAGCCCUGGGGUUUGAGAGCCAACGGUCUGCUCCAUCAGAAUCCCUUAAAGGCUGACCUUGCUGCCCUCCCCACAAGAAAAAUCUCCUAACUUCAUACAUAUCCUUAAAUAACUUGCUGUUAUACAACUUACUUGUUAUAUUAUUUGUAUAACUUGCUGUUAUAGAGCUUAAAUGUCUAUCACUAAGGAACUGAUAAAAAUGACUAUAUAUCUAGCUGGGCAUGGUGGUGCACACCUGUGGUCCCAGCUACUCUGGAGGCUGAGAUGGAAGGAUCACUUGAGCCCAGGAAUUUGAGGCUGCAGUGAUCCAAGAUCACACCACUGCACUCCAGCCUGGGCAACACAGCCAGAUCCUGUCUAAAAUUAAAAAAAAAAAAAAAGUAUGGUAUAGCCAUAUAAUGGAUUACAGCUGUUAAAAAGAAGGGUGGAUGUGUGACAUAACAAAAAUAUAUUAGAAUUGAAGACCGGGCACAGUGGCUCAUGUAUCCCAGGACUUUGGGAAGCUGAGGCUGGCAGAUCUCUUGAGCCCAGGAGUUGGAGACCAGCCUGGGCAACAUAAUGAAACCAAGUCCUACAAAAUAUACAAAAAUUAGCAGGGGUUGGUGGCAUGCAUCUGUGGUCCCAGCUACUUGGGAGGCUGAGGCAAGAGGAUUGCUUGAGCCCUGGAGGCUGCAGUGAGCCAUGAUAGCAACACUGCAUUCUACCCUGGGUGACAGAGCGAGACCCUCUCUCAAAUAAAAUAAUGAAAUGAAAAAAAAUCUAAGUACAGCAGCAGUACAAGGCAUAGUAUCAACCUACUUUUGUUGAAAAAAAUUUUUUUUAGUUUGUAUACAUGUAGAAAUGCCUGAAGCAAUUAUUUGCAGAUUACCUCUAGAUAAUUUAUAUGCCUG
rnacentral:lncRNA from 1 species